UUCUAGAUGGAGACCUUAGCUCCUUCAAUUCAAACCCUAAUUUCUGCUAAUUUCACCUCCAGAUCUGUUUCCGCCACUGGAUUUUCUCUACCAUGCCUUAAAUCUCCGGUGCUAUGUCAACCGCGCAGACUCACCCUCAUUAAAGCCUCAGUCGCCGUCGAACAACAAACUCAGAAAAAGGUCGCCCUUAUCAGAAUUGGUACCAGAGGGAGGUAAUGUUUCUUAUUUCCUUUCAUCUUAUCGUUUUUGGUUUCAUAAGCGUAUGUUUGCGUUUGAUUUGUUUCGUAAUUUUGUAUUGUUCGAAGAAUAGGAUUGAUGAUUUACUAGCACAAAUUUAAGACCCAAAUCUCGUGUGUUCUGAUCAAUUUAUCAAUUAUCAUCACUGCUAUAUUUCUAUAUAUGUAGUAAAAUCUUCAAUUACUUAAUUCUGGAAGCAAUAGCUUCAUCUAGCUAAUUUGAAAUUAACGCUAAUCAUGAUCGUGAAAAAUACUAAUAUACAUAGUACAUUGAUAACUGGAUAUGGUUCAAGCACAUCUGAAGAUAAGAAGUGUAUUACAUUUUUCUAAGAUUCAUGUCUUCCAUUCCUGCUGUUUUUCUUAAUUUAUCAUCCGUUUUAAGGAAAUCCGUUUACAUUUCUUGUGUAGAACAGUCCAUUAGCUCUAGCACAAGCUUACGAGACACGAGAUAAGCUCAUUGCUACAAGUAGUGAAUUAGCAGAAGAGGGAGCUAUCGAAAUCGUAGUAAUCAAAACAACAGGUGACAAAAUUUUGAGUCAACCUCUUGCAGACAUUGGUGGAAAGGGUUUGUUCACUAAAGAAAUUGAUGAAGCACUUCUAAACAGUGAAAUCGAUAUUGCUGUUCAUUCCAUGAAAGAUGUUCCUACUUAUCU
rnacentral:lncRNA from 1 species